rnacentral:ncRNA from 1 species
CAAAGGUCAGCUCAGUGUGGACAGAAACCACACGCUGAGCAUAAGGACAAAAGCUGGCUUGAUCUCGAUGUUCAGUACAUAUUGAGACAAGCGUG